rnacentral:lncRNA from 1 species
CACCCUAUUUUCAACUAAAAUAGAAUUUGCUUUGUUAUGAAAAUUAUCUCAAUUUCUUGGAUAAUAAAUAUCGUCGAUAUUUUUAAUAUUAAUGAAGCACAUAAUUAGGAACAAAGGGCCCAAAAAAAUCACCAAUUUCUUCGAUAAUAAAUUUUUGAGCAUAUUAUCAAGAACAACCAAAUUUUUUUACAGGAGGGUGUAUAUAGAAAUUUUUGUGUUACAUGGGAUAUAUAUAGCAAAUCUCACUAAAAAGGCCAAAAAUACUAACAGAUGUCAGCCCAUUCCUUUAUCAUGUCAAAGUUUGGGCCUUUGCAGAGAAAAUUUCUAUAUAUACCCCCUGAAAUCCAAAUAUUUCUAUAUACACCCCCUUACCUUAAAAUUUUUUU